rnacentral:rRNA from 1 species
AGGACGAACGCUGGCGGCGUGCUUAACACAUGCAAGUCGAGCGGAAAGGCCUUUCGGGGUACUCGAGCGGCGAACGGGUGAGUAACACGUGAGUAAUCUGCCCAUCGCUUCAGGAUAGCCAUCGGAAACGGUGAUUAAUACUGGAUAUGACAUUCCUUCGCAUGUUGGGGUGUGGUAAAGUUUUUUCGGCGGUGGAUGUGCUCGCGGCCUAUCAGUCUU